rnacentral:rRNA from 1 species
CCCGCUGAACUUAAGCAUAUCAAUAAGCGGAGGAAAAGAAACCAACAGGGAUUGCCCUAGUAACGGCGAGUGAAGCGGCAACAGCUCAAAUUUGAAAUCUGGCCUUCGGGUCCGAGUUGUAAUUUGUAGAGGAUGCUUUUGGUGAGGUGCCUUCCGAGUUCCCUGGAACGGGACGCCAUAGAGGGUGAGAGCCCCGUCUGGUUGGACACCGAUCCUCUGUAAAGCUCCUUUAACGAGUCGAGUAGUUUGGGAAUGCUGCUCUAAAUGGGAGGUAUAUGUCUUCUAAAGCUAAAUAUUGGCCAGAGACCGAUAGCGCACAAGUAGAGUGAUCGAAAGAUGAAAAGCACUUUGAAAAGAGAGUUAAAAAGUACGUGAAAUGUGAAAGGGGAAGCGCUCAUGACCAGACUUUGGGCUGGUUGAUCAUCCAGGGUUCUCCCUGGUGCACUCUCCAGUUUCAGGCCAGCAUCAGUUCGCUGCGGGGGAUAAAGGCUUUGGGAAUGUGGCUCCUUCGGGAGUGUUAUAGCCCAUUGUGUAAUACCCUGUGGUGGACUGAGGACCGCGCUUUUGCAAGGAUGCUGGCGUAAUGGUCAUCAGUGACCCGUCUUGAAACACGG